rnacentral:rRNA from 1 species
GACGAACGCUGGCGGCGUGCCUAACACAUGCAAGUCGAACGAUGAAGAAGAGAAACGCGAACUUCGGUUCAAAUUUCACUCCGGAUUAUUGGCAGACGGGUGAGUAACUCGUGAGCAACCUACCUCUUACAAAGGGAUAGCCUCGGGAAACCGUGAUUAAUACCAUAUGACACAUUCAUAAGGCAUCUUAAGAAUGUUAAAGCUACGGCGGGAAGAUAUGGGCUCGCGUCCCAUUAGCUAGUUGGUGAGGUAACGGCCCACCAAGGCGACGAUGGGUAACCGGCCACAGAGGGUGAGCGGUCACACUGAAACUGGGACACGGUCGGAACUCCUACGGGAGGCAGCAGUGGGGGAUAUAGCAAAAUGGAGGGAACGCUGAUGGUGCGACGCCGCGUGAGCGAUGAAGGAAUUCGUGUCGUAAAGCUCUGUUCUAUGUGAAGAAAAUGACGGUACCUUAGGAGAAAGCCCCGGCUAAAUACGUG